AACGAACGCUGGCGGCAUGCCUAACACAUGCAAGUCGAACGAGACCUUCGGGCCGAGUGGCGCACGGGUGAGUAACGCGUGGGAACCUGGCCUUAGGUUGGGAAUAACUCCCCGAAAGGGGUGCUAAUAUCGGAAAAUGUCCUCGGACCAAAGAUUUAUCGCCUUUGGAUGGGCCCGCGUUGGAUUAGCUAGUUGGUAGGGUAAAAGCCUACCAAGGCGACAAUCCAUAGCUGGGCAGAGAGGAUGAGCAGCCACACUGUGGCUGGGAAGCGGCGCAGACUCCUGCAGGAGGCAGCAAUGGGGGAUAUAGGAAUAUCGCGUGUAUCAUGAUGGAGCUAUGCCGGGAGAGUGAUUACAGCGUUAGGGUUGUAAAGCACUUUUACCCGGGAUGAUAAUGACAUUACCGGGAGAAUAAGCACCGGCUAACUCCGUG
rnacentral:rRNA from 1 species